rfam:Triticum aestivum genome assembly, contig: Triticum_aestivum_CS42_TGACv1_scaffold_220682_3B
CAAAUACUCCCUUCGUCCAGAAAUACUUGUCAUCAAAAUGGAUAAAAGGAAAUGUAUCUAGACGUAUUUUAGUUUUAGAUACAUCUAUUUUUAUCCAUUUUGAUGACAAGUAUUUUCGGACGGAGGGAGUAGAAA